UACGAAGGGGGCCAGCGUUGCUCGGAAUCACUGGGCGUAAAGGGUGCGUAGGCGGGUCUUUAAGUCAGGGGUGAAAUCCUGGAGCUCAACUCCAGAACUGCCUUUGAUACUGAGGAUCUUGAGUUCGGGAGAGGUGAGUGGAACUGCGAGUGUAGAGGUGAAAUUCGUAGAUAUUCGCAAGAACACCAGUGGCGAAGGCGGCUAACUGGCCCGGUACUGACGCUGAGACGCGAAAGCGUGGGGAGCGAACAGG
rnacentral:rRNA from 1 species